CUCUGUAAAUUCCUCCUCUCUUUUACAGUCCUCACUUUUCAUUGAGGCUGGGAUUAAUGCAAUAUACCACAGCGGGCAACUUAGCACUGAUCAGGGAAAAAGAAACAUUCACUGGAAGUUUUCGACAUGUUUCCAAACAAGGAAAGCACAGGUUCGCUUCUGUAUCCUCCGUCCUGCAUCUGGCCUCCAGAGGGUGAUGUUGCACAAGGGACAGACGCCUAUUUCCCUUGAUGAUCAACCCCUUCUUCCUGCAGCUGGCUUACUGAAGCACCUCACUGGAGUUCUUUGAAGAUGGGGCAAGCGGAGAGAAUCAAAGAUCGAAAACCAAUCAGGAUUAUCUCAGCACUUUUUGUAUUUUUACCAAAACAAGAGACUUGCCUAGCCCAACCUUCCUCAUACUCGCUAUUCCCAAGACCUGGGUUCCAGCCACUUUCUUCCUUGCUCCAAGGAGAAUUUCCAAUGAGAUGCCUGCAGUGUUUCCAUAGCUCAGCCAUGCUCCUGUUGCUCAUACCAGUUCUGGGGAUAAUUUUUGCCCUGAGAGAUGCCAGAGCCCAGUCUGUGAGCCAGCCUGACUACCAUGUAAUUCUUUCUGAAGGGGCCUCACUGGAGUUGAGAUGCAACUAUUCCUAUGGUGGAACUGUUACUCUCUUCUGGUAUGUCCAGAACCCUGGUCAAGACCUUCAGCUUCUCCUCAAGUACUAUUCAGGGGACACACUGGUUAAAGGCAUCAAAGGCUUUGAGGCUGAAUUUAUGAAGAGUAGAUCUUCCUUUAACCUGAGGAAACCCUCUGUGCAGUGGAGUGACACGGCUGAGUACUUCUGUGCUGUGAAAGCCACAGUGUCUGGGACUGCAAAGGGAGCUGAACACAAACUUUGUAAGGUGCUAGGGGGAAUAACUGCCUCUGAAAGAUUUUAGAUUCUGACACAGUAGAAAUGAUUUUGCUUUUUUAAAAAAAUUAUUUUUAA